UACAGAGGGUGCGAGCGUUGUCCGGAAUCACUGGGCGUAAAGGGCGCGUAGGCGGCUUGAUAAGCGUGCGGUGAAAGCCCGGGGCUCAACCCCGGGUCGGCCGUGCGAACUGUCGAGCUGGAGCACUGUAGAGGCAGGUGGAAUUCCGGGUGUAGCGGUGGAAUGCGUAGAGAUCCGGAGGCACACCUGUGGCGAAGGCGGCCCCCUGGGCCGCGCCUGACGCUGAGACGCGAAAGCGUGGGGAGCGAACAGG
rnacentral:rRNA from 1 species